CCCACGAUGAAGCCCUCUUGCUGAAACCGAGCCUGAGGGUGCAGCUUGAGCGGGCCCUGCUCCCCUGGGAGCCCUUGCAGUUUUUCGAAUCUUCUCCUGCUGCCCGGGUUUACCUCUGCGGUCCUCUGUCACUGAGCUAUUUCCUUUUUUUCACGUGUUGUGUCCCUGAAUUGUUAGGGACUGGGCUAUCCCUCUCCCCAGUGGUCUUACACCUCAGAUUCACAGGGAUCCAAAAAUGUGGGGCGGGGGGCACAGCUGCCUGAGUGUCAUGUGUCUCCCUUUGCCUGUUAUCCAUGUCCCUCUGUCCCUGUGGAUUUAUAUGCUGUGACCUAAAACCCAGGUGUAGGUUGAUAUCCUGUUAAAAUUGCACCAUGAGCCAGGUGUGGUGGUGCACGCCUUUAAU
rnacentral:lncRNA from 1 species